AUUGAACGCUGGCGGCAGGCCUAACACAUGCAAGUCGAACGAGUGGCGGACGGGUGAGUAAUGUCUGGGAAACUGCCCGAUGGAGGGGGAUAACUACUGGAAACGGUAGCUAAUACCGCAUACCCUCUGAUGUGCCCAGAUGGGAUUAGCUUGUAGGUGAGGGAACGGCUCACCUAGGCGACGAUCCCUAGCUGGUCUGAGAGGAUGACCAGCCACACGGGAAUGGAGACACGGUGCAGACUCGUACGGUGGGCAGCAGUGGGGAUUAUUGCACAAUGGGCGCAAGCCUGAUGCAGCAAUGCCGGGUGUAUGAAGAAGGCAUUCGGGUUGUAAAGUACUUUCAGCGGGGAGGCGUUACCCGCAGAAGAAGCACCGGCUAACUCCGUGCCAGCAGCCGCGGUAAUGC
rnacentral:rRNA from 1 species